rnacentral:tRNA from 1 species
CAAAUUAUAAUUUUGAAUAUAUUUUAUUUACAAUAAAUUAUUUAAUUGUUAAAUCAAUUUAAUUUGA